GGAGGAUAUAGCUCAGUGGUAGAGUGCCUGCUUAGCAUGCAUGAGGUCCUGGGUUCAAUCCCCAGUAUCUCUA
rnacentral:tRNA from 1 species